GUCUUUGGGGCAAGAACUUUUCACACCUUCUGACAUGGCACAGGUUAAUCAUCUCAAAUUUAUAAUGUCUACUCCUAGCUGAACAUAUAAAUAUAUUUUUCUGCCCUACAUUGUCCAUAUUCUGCAAUCGGCGCCAUCCAGUGAAAGGGUUUACCCUGCCAUUUUCUAUAACUACGACUUAGCAGCUUAGUUGCAUUAGCCACAAUUCUGAGGAUUCAAAG